rnacentral:rRNA from 1 species
UACGGAGGAGGCAAGCGUUAUCCGGAAUUAUUGGGCGUAAAGCGUCCGCAGGUGGCACUUCAAGUCUGCCGUCAAAGACUGGGGCUUAACCCUGGAAAGGCGGUGGAAACUGAAGCGCUAGAGUGCGGUAGGGGUAGAGGGAAUUCCCGGUGUAGCGGUGAAAUGCGUAGAGAUCGGAAAGAACACCAACGGCGAAAGCACUCUGCUGGGCCGACACUGACACUGAGAGACGAAAGCUAGGGGAGCGAAUGGG